rnacentral:rRNA from 1 species
UUGCAGUCGAGCGAGAAGUUCCUUCGGGAAUGAUUAAAGCGGCGGACGGGGGCGUACAACAUGGAUAACCUACCUUAAGGUCCGGGAUAACCUCGGGAAACCGAAGCUAAUACCGGAUAAGACCACAUUAUCUGCGGAUAAAGGGGUAAAAGUUUUUCGCCUUUUGAUGGGUCCAUGCUCCAUCAGGUUUUUGGGGAGGUAAAAGCUCACCAAGCCGAAGACGGAUAGCCGGCCUUAGCGGGGGAUCGGCCACACGGGGACUGAGACACGGCCCCGACUCCUACGGGAGGCAGCAGUGGGGAAUAUUGGGCAAUGGGCGAAAGCCUGACCCAGCCAUGCCGCGUGAAGGAUGAAGGCCUUUGGGUCGUAAACUUUUUUCAGGAGGGACGAGGGGACUUCGGUCUUGACGGUACCUCCAGAGGAAGCCCCGGCUAACUCCGUGCCAGCAGCCGCGGUAAUACGGAGGGGGCAAGCGUUGCUCGGAUUUACUGGGCGUAAAGGGUCCGCAGGCGGUUGAGUAAGUUAGAUGUGAAAGCUCAAGGCUUAACCUUGAAAAUGCAUCUAAAACUGCUCGACUAGAGUCCAAGAGGGGUCGGCGGAAUUCCCGGGGUAGCGGGGAAAUGCGUAGAUAUCGGGAGGAACACCAGUGGCGAAG